rnacentral:tRNA from 1 species
GGCGCGGUAGUUUAAGCGAGGAGGCAGCACAGGGAAUUCCCUGGAGCGAAAACUCGUGGGGUCCGUGUAGCGGCGGACAAAGGCAGAACGGUUAAGGCGCUACUUAACUGGCGGAGGUUCGAUUCCUCUCCGUGCCG